UGCCAUAUAAAACAAACAAAAAACAAUAAAAACAUUUGUAGCAUAUUAUAUUUAUAUCUUCAUCUUUUCUAUCUUUUGUGUGGGGUUUGUAAAAGCCUUGCUCUUGUCUCGUGCAGGUCUUCAUCACAUUGUCUGUAGUUGCAACUUUCAUUUUUUCUGUCUCCUCAUAAACUCAGAGUCUUCUUUUAAAAUCUGUAAACGUGACAUCGUCUUCAUUUUGUGUUACGUGGAUGGCCAGUGGCUUAAAUCCGGUAGUCCUCGGAGAAUCAUCACUAAGAUGCUGUACAGACAUAAUUGAAGAGAAUCAGGGGAGUAAAGAGGAACAUCAUGUCAAAAUGUUAGGAAAAAAUCAUUUACAGACUGAUGGUAUUUUUAAAAGGAGUGUCAGAAAUCGUUUCACCUGCACUCAGUGU